rnacentral:misc_RNA from 1 species
CGGCAGAGGAGGAGGAGGAG